GACGAACGCUGGCGGCGUGCUUAACACAUGCAAGUCGAACGGAAAGGCCCUGCUUUUGUGGGGUGCUCGAGUGGCGAACGGGUGAGUAACACGUGAGUAACCUGCCCUUGACUUUGGGAUAACUUCAGGAAACUGGGGCUAAUACCGGAUAGGAGCUCCUGCUGCAUGUUGGGGGUUGGAAAGUUUCGGCGGUUGGGGAUGGACUCGCGGCUUAUCAGCUUGUUGGUGGGGUAGUGGCUUACCAAGGCUUUGACGGGUAGCCGGCCUGAGAGGGUGACCGGCCACAUUGGGACUGAGAUACGGCCCAGAAUCCUACGGGAGGCAGCAGUGGGGAAUAUUGCACAAUGGGCGGAAGCCUGAUGCAGCAACGUCGCGUGCGGGAUGACGGCCUUCGGGUUGUAAACCGCUUUCGCCUGUGACGAAGAGUGAGUGACGGUAAUGGGUAAAGAAGCACCGGCUAACUACGUG
rnacentral:rRNA from 1 species